rnacentral:tRNA from 1 species
UGGGAUAUGGCUCAGUGGUACAGCAUCUGCUUGGCAAUUACAAGGCCCUAAGUUCAAUUCCUAGUACCACGA